AUUGAACGCUGGCGGCAGGCCUAACACAUGCAAGUCGAGCGAGCGGCGGACGGGUGAGUAAUGUAUGGGGACUGCCCGAUAGAGGGGGAUAACUACUGGAAACGGUGGCUAAUACCGCAUACUAUCGGAAAACCCAUAUGGGAUUAGCUAGUAGGUGGGGUAAAGGCUCACCUAGGCUACGAUCUGUAGCUGGUCUGAGAGGACGAUCAGCCACACUGGGACUGAGACACGGCCCAGAAUCAUCCGGAGGCAGCAGUGGGGAAUAUUGCACAAUGGGCGAAAGCCUGAUGCAGCCAUGCCGCGUGUAUGAUGAAGGCCUUAGGGUUGUAAAGUACUUUCGGCGGGGAGGCGUUAGCCGAAGAAGAAGCACCGGCUAACUCCGUGCCAGCAGCCGCGGUAAUUC
rnacentral:rRNA from 1 species